UCCCUACUUCCAUAACAAACUUGGGAAAUCUAUCCAUUCUCCGAUUACGGGGUAACAAACUUUCUGGUUUUAUACCUUCAGAAGUUGGGUUCUUAAAAUCUUUAAAAACACUUGACUUGUCAAGUAAUGUUCUAUCCGGACCAAUCCCUCCUUCCAUUGGAAAAUUGAGAGAGUUAUCAAUUCUUUCCCUUUUUGACAACAAACUCUCAAGAUGCAUCCCCCAUGAACUUGGGAUGCU
rnacentral:misc_RNA from 1 species